rnacentral:misc_RNA from 1 species
UGGCUCUCGCAUCGAUGAAGAACGCAGCGAAAUGCGAUAAGUAAUGUGAAUUGCAGAAUUCAGUGAAUCAUCGAAUCUUUGAACGCACCUUGCGCUCCUUGGUAUUCCGAGGAGCAUGCCUGUUUGAGUGUCAUGAAAUUCUCAACCUUUCUGAUUUUUUCUAAUCGGUUAGGCUUGGAUUUGGAAGUUGCUGGCUCGCUUCGAAUCAGCUCUUCUUAAAUAUAUUAGCAAUGACCUUUGCUGCUCAUCAUUGGUAUGAUAAUUAUCUAUAUCAUUGAUAGUCAGUGUCCUUCACGGGAGAGGCCUCGCUUCUAAUGGUCUUUUUGAGACAAUUUGACAACUUUUGACCUCAAAUCAGGUAGGAUUACCCGCUGA